CUGAAGGAUUUGGAGAAGCUCCUUCUUUUUCCACUCCCUCACCUCUCUCCUCCCCCAGUUACUCAUGCAAUGGCAGCAACAGUUUGGCUGGAAUGCAGAGUGGAUGUGGAAGAUGUGAAUAUGCUUCUGGAAUUCCAGAGGAGGAGCUGAGCCAAUAAUAUGUCCAACUAUAAUGCAGAACUGUUGUAAUUACUUAGGAACAGUGGGAAUGAUAGCAGAGUAUUGUCAGUAAUCGCACGUCAAAUUCUGCCAUUCCCUAAAAUAGGACAACCACAGAGCAACUCUGCUGGGACCCAUAGGGCUGUGUUGGCUCGGAGGUGGUUGGGAAAGAAGAGAAGGGGCUGAUCUUGGAGUUACCCAAAAGCAGUGGCAAACCAAAGGCAAGGAAACUGCAACUUGAAGAGUCAGACAUCAGAGGACGAAGUUGCCGCAUGUAUCCCAGCACUGCUAAACUUGUGGCUUAGAAACAAGGAUGGAAAUAUUUCUGGACGACACUCAUUUCCCAAUGCUCCGUAGAGACCGCAGAACCUUGCAAAACAGUUCGCAUUCGUCAAUGUUUUAUUCCUAUGACUAAAACCCCGUGGGAUUUAAGUGUGCUUCUCCGUGUUGUCUGGCAAGGAAUUGGGUAAUGAAUGACCACGUUAGGAACCACUUGGCCAGAAAACAGAUGAGAACAACAUUGGUGAGCACUGUCUGAUCAUGAGGAGUGAGAUGAAGGAGGGAGAGAGAUGGAACACCGAUGGUUCAUUGCAGACUUACUUGGGAAACUCUGCAAAGAUGGCACUUUGUGCAUCUUUCUCCUUCACCCAUUUUAUUUCAUUUCUGGGCUGUCAUUUCAGCAACAUCUUUAACAAAUGAAAACCCUCUGCGCAGUCAAUAGUAAUUACAGGAAUUUAUCACAAUUGCCAAUCAAGGUGUGUUGGAAAGACUCAUCUUUCUCGUUUAAAUUAGCCUUCGCUGCGCACAGGCCACAAGUUAUCUUUAGGAAAUCAAUUGUGGGAAAAUUACAGCUUUUGUGGUGUUCUGUGACCUCAGCAGCCAUCACGCAGCUGAGUUCCCUCCCACCCUCCCCCCCCCAGCUGCUUGUGUGGCCUCGUACAGCUGUUUGCUGGGGGGUUUGGACCUCAGCACAAAGCCUGGAAUUGUUCUUCAUGCAUCUGGAGGCAGUGAGGGUGUCAGAUAAAAUGUAGGCAUGAUUCGGGCACUUUUGUAAAUGAACAGGAGGAGAGAAGGCCCUGGUCAGAUUUACACCUUUAUCUGUUUCACUGCUCCGAACCAGGCUGGCAGGAGUUCUGCCUUCGGCAGUGCUGAUGCAGCUCCCAUUGGAAAUGCAGACCAGGCUGACACAGCUCAGGGCAAAAUUCAGCUGUGCGUGGAGCUGCAAACGCCGUCUCCCGGAUGAUUAAUGCACAUUUGUAAGGAGUUUCUUCUCUGCUGAUAAUGCUGCCAUGAGGAAGGAUCUUCAGCUGCUAUAUAUCAGCCUGAGUUCUGACUGUAGGUGAGUACAGGUUUCCUCCUCCACUCCCACUGCUUCCCCAGAGACAGCGGUGUUUGCAGAGGCUUAAUAAAGCAGGAAAGAGAGCAGGUGUGAAAGGAAACAUCAAUUACCAUUAGCCCUGACAAUCCUGGACGAUCCCACCCAUGGCGAAGGCGCAAUGACAGUCAAUUCUGUGGUUCUUUCUAUGCAGAUAAGUGAAGUGCUUUCCUUUUCUGGUGAGGGUGAGGCUGGUGAGGGCACUGGGAUGGAGGAAGGUGUGGAUUUCUGUUUGUGAGGUCUGUGCUGUUGUUGUAACUGGACUGAAUUCAGACUUCCACAGGCAAUUCCUCCCCUGAAGACUCUGCAACCUGAACACAUGGGAGAACCAAUGGUUCUGCUGCACAGCACUCAUUAGAGAAGGGGAAUUCAUGGCCAGGUAUUCGAAGGUGCCCAGGAAUGGGUCUUCUGCUGGAGCAAACACUAGAGCCACUAGAGCUGAGCUGAGUUCCAAGUGGCUUCCAAAUACAGAGCGGGUUCUCCUGCUCUGAUGAGCUGCUUGCAGUGCUCAGGGCUCUACGUGCUGUCCCCAAAGGGGCGGCCUGAAGCCUCAGCAGCAGUCCUCAGUGCUGCUUCCUAAUUAGCACCCUCUUCCUCUGACUCGGACAUCUGCUUGCACUGAGUUUCACAGGUUCUUCAAUAGCUAAUGGGUGGUAUUUAUUUCCAUUCCUUUGGUGCCUUAAAUAUAACAAUAAUUCAGUGUAUCUCAUUUUGGGGGAAUGAAAGAUCGCCCUUAUUUUCAGCUCAUUUUUUGUGUUUUAUUUCUCUCCCCUUUUUUAUUGAGCUCUGAACAUUAAUAAUCAGCCCUCAUUAACUCAGUUAAUUCUUCAAAUCCUCAUAUUCUUCAUGCCCAGCACCAUAAAGCCAAAGAAGGGACUAAUGAAAGCUGAAGAGAUGGUUAGAGUUAUUAAAAAUCAAUUUUUUUUGUAUCUGGUAACCCUGGGGUGUUAAUAUUCUCAUCUCAUGUCUUCUCAGCCUCAUUCCUCCCACAGGAACUCUGGGUUUGCAGAGCGCAGGAGGACCUCAGUGCAGGAUAUUCAGGAGCCCUUUGGUUUUGAGGCCGUCCCAUGAUGUUACAGCACAUCUCCUGGGGGAGUUUUGAGGUCUCUGCAGUGCAGGAAGGAGAGUUUUGCAGUCCUGAAGACGGUCGUGCACUGCUGAGCACUGCAAUCAGCAUUAGAGGAGGGCAGGGUGAGGGUUGUGCAGGCACUGUUCCCUCUUGCGCAGGCAGAGCGCUGCUGGGAAGGGGCUGGGAGCAGCCUGAGCUCUGCCCUUCAGCUCAGAUUAGCGAUAAUGGAAAAUGCAGAACAUUAAACAGCGGCGUGAUUGCAUUGCGGAGGAGGACUGGCAAAUGGGUUCGUCCUGAUGCAAGGGUGUGAAAAAGGGGUCGCCGAGCUGAGUUUACUUCAGGCUUAAGAAGCGAGAGAAAUGUUUUUCAGGUUUUGCAACAAUUCAUUCUUGUCUUGUUUUUGAUCUGACUUCAUUCCCUCAGCGUGCCUCUCCUUUCAGCAGUGUCUUUAAUUCAUGAAUUCAUCUGCACGUCUUGUUUUCCUGAAUUACCCUUCCCAUUUCCUUUACUGGGGUGAGUCCGAAUGUCCCCCUCCAAACCAAAUGCUGCCCAUUGGAACACAGUCCUUGGUGCAGAGAUCCCUGUUGCUGUGGCAGGGCAGGUCUGCUGAGGAGGGAGGGAGGAGAAGGGGAGCAGCAGAGCCAGCAGAGCUGGUGAUGUGCAGCUGCAGAGCUCCCGCUGGGCACUGCCGGGCUGAGACUGGGCACCAUGGCAACCAGGAUGAUGCUCCUUGGAGUCCCUGAUCUGCUAAAUGGGUGGCAAUCUCGUUAUGAAAGGUGGAGAAAGGUGGAUUUUUCCCCAGCAUUUUCCUCCCCCUAAUGUUGACAAUGCACCAAGAGGAACAAAACACGCUUCUGGAGCACUCAGACCCACUGCCGUGGGAUGGGGUGGUGGUGUGGGUGGCCGUGCUGCUGAGCUGUGUUCCCUUCAGAGCAUCACUGCCUCCUGUGCUCACCCAGCGGGCGGCUCUCAGGGGGAUCCCAUUGUGUAUGCUGCCCGGGUUCCUGCGGGAUUCGCUUUUAAAUCUCUUUUUCAAACAGAUAAUUAAAACAUAAUGGUGUUUACAUUACAGAUGGAGCUGAGAGAAAAAUAAUAAUAGUAAUAAUAAUCGUAAUAAACACUACUUUGCCACUCAGGGGAGUUUGUCAAAUGACUCUUACAGAGGCUUGGCGCACUUUAAUGAGUCUAAAGAAGAGGAUUUACGCUGAACAAACUCACUCCAUGGCGCACACGUGGCGGUGGGAUGAGGGAGCUCUCCGCAGUGCUGAACCUGCAGCAGGACGACAUGGAAGAAAAUAAAGGAAACGGGAACUAAGAGAAAUCAAACCAGCAUGAAUACUUGCCAGCUUGUACAUUAUGCAGUACUUUGAAGCACGUUUCUUCCUACACCUUGAGCAUACACAGGGGACCGAUUUUCCUCCUGCUCAUGCUGAUGUGUGGAGCUGUCAGUGGGAACUGUGUGGCUCCUGGGUUACCCCCCAGUCAGUGCAAACAGCAUCAGUCAUGGGAGGAGUACAUCACUUUUACAGGGAGGACUCCAUGAUUAAUCCAGGCCGCACAGAGGACGUUCAAUAGGCAGAGUCCUUUACUUACAACUUAUGGAACAAUGUGAUAUCCAACUCAGAACACAGUCAGAGUUUUGUUAAGCUUGCUUUCAGCCAUCAGCAGGUGACAACAGAUUUAUUAACUGGAGUGGAUGCCCAGGAGCUCAGAUUCGUGACUUAAUGGAGCUGGACUGUGCUGGGUGCUGUGGAAAUACAAAAUGGGUUCAUAUAGAAGUCUGAUGGAAACUAUCAGUGCUCCAUCCUCUCUGGGCAUGUGCCUCUGUGCAUGGUGCUUCUUCCCAACCAGAGCACAUCAGAGCCAGAGCAGAGCUGCUGUCUUCACAUUUAUCCCCAUUCCCAAAGACUCGGCUGAACAAUCAAGGAGGUGAACUCCCAACCUGGAGAUUACUGCUGCAUUAAUAAAGCAACUGUGAACGAACUGCUUCAGCUGCUUGAGCCAACCAGGAUUAUUAAACGAGCUCCCUGAUUUAAUUAGAGUGCGUAAAACUCAUGCUAAAAACAAAAAUGCAGCUCUCAGCUGGAACGUGAGCUUUGUGCAGGAGGGGUCACUGCGAAGGUCAGCUCUUCCUGCAGUUUAUUCACAGUGAUUGAAUCAAACACUGAGGUGGAAGCAGACAGCCCCAGCAGAGCUGCUGUCCUGCAGCACAGCUCUGGGCACUGCCUGAGGGCAGCAGGCACUGCGGCUUUGUUCCGCCUGCCCGGCUCCUUGUGUGAAACAGCCUGAAAGAACAGGGUCUGCAUUGGAUUACAGAAAUAAAGCCACGUGCAUCAGCACUGCCAGUCUUACUGCAUUGCACACAGCGUGAGCUGCUCCCUGCUGGGCAGAUGGACACGGAGACUCAGAGACAUGGGGACACAAGG
rnacentral:lncRNA from 1 species